GUACCCAUAGCUCAAUUGGCAGAGCUCCAGAUUGUGGAUUUGGCGGUUGAGGGUUCGAGUCCCUCUGGGUACC
rnacentral:tRNA from 1 species